CCCGGCGGGCGGGCGAGUGGGCAGGACGGGACAGGACAGAUAAAUGUUUUUCGCUGCCCGGCCAACUGUUGUAUCUGCAGUCUCCUGUGGACAGAUUGAUCAGGACAGCUGUCCUUAGGAGUUUCACCAAACUCCACCAAACAGCAUUUGCAUCUCAUCCUGGCCUGAGAAGAUGUAUUACUGCCACAGCUGUGAGGAAUCCCUUUUCAUCUGUUCAGAAAGAGUCUGGUUUCAUCUUAAUCCCCUUCUCUCUCUCACCCACCCACCCAAUCUAAAUCUGUUCCUCAGUGAAGCUGCUUUUUGCACUGUAAGUGAUCUCUGCUGAAAUGAAGAUUUCAGAGGUGUCAUUGGGAACCAUGUCUAUCUUCCCGUGAAAAGGCUCUGAAAAAUGAACCCUAACCCUAACCUUCUCCUUCUCUGAUGCUUUUUAAAAUCGUUAUGUAAUAUCAUGUGACCAACUACUAUCCCAGAAAGACAUGGAGAAACUUUCUACAUGCUUCUUGCAAGAUGUGUCUUCAGCUGUGGAAAAUAUACAGAGGCCUAUGAAGUUCAUGAGUAGGAGAUGUUUACAAAAAUAGCAUCUAUAUCAGAUCUAUAGAGGCAGAAGUCAUCCUCUGGGGACUGUAGCUCCAAUAUGCUUCUCUUCUGGCCUCCUUCCACUGGCAGUUUGGAUUCCCCAGCAAAAGCUACUUCUGACAGAGAUCUCAGUAAUUGCUUCAUAGAAGUAAUGGAUAGAUGCCAUAAGAGUUAAUUCUACAUCAAGCUGUAUUAGCUACUGAUAGGAUUUUCAUGUGGACCAAAAAGGAAAUGAGAUAUCAAAAUGACUCAUAUAGUUGUUCUUGUUCAGAGCUACUUUGGUGCAGGAGACAAACAGAAAGGCUUUUUAUGAGGUUUAAAGAAUGAAAAAAGCAGUGUCAAUGUAGUUCAGAUCCUGAAAGUGGUGCAACUUGUCUGACAUAAGUGAAAGGCUGGGUCCUUUCAAGCUGGGAAAAUAUUUGAGGCUGUGUGAGUCAACUGAAGAUUAGAAGGGACAACAGAUGGAGAGAGGUAGGAUAUGUUUGCAUUGCAUAUUGUGAUAUAAGCUCAUGCUUACCUACACUCACAUCUGAGCAAACGCGAUCUUCUUCCACCUGCAGCCACAGCUCAUAAAAAACUUCUAGGAGAGCGUAUUAGUUCAGUGCUGAGAUAGAACUAAUCAAUACAAAUAAUCAAUACCUCAAUAGUGUAUUUAUCAAAAAAACCUCCUGGGUAUUUUGUCCCAUAUUGCUGAAGAGAGGUAAUAGUGAGUGCCAAAACAUUAUUUUCCUCUCUCCCUGCAUGGUGAGUUCUCAAAUUGGCCCAUGCUGCUGAAGCAGAAACACGUGCUUUGUAUAGCCUGGCAUGAUCUAUUGGAAACUGAACAUUGAUGGACCGUCCCAAAUUAAGGACAGUCUUACUCAGAGGAAUUCAAUACUUUGAUGUUAGCCAGAUACCUUAAAAACACACUCAUUUCAAUACAAGUUGAGAUUCUUAAAAAAUGUAUUUCUGAAACAAAUUUUAAGAAUUUCUGCAGUGGAGAGGUAUGUCAUCCCAACACAUAAAGCGCAGGCAAACAGUGGGCUAGCUGUAGUCUAACAAUAGGCAGGACUCACAUACGUACUUUGCUGCAAGAUCCCUGUUAUGUGACCUCACUUAAUUUGGUGGUAUUUUAUUAAAAUGUAAUCAACUUUCUGUAUAACACAUGGGUUUGACAUAUUGGUACACAAAUGAAUGUUCAAUACUC